AGGCGCUGAGCUGCCCCUUGCGAGCUCUGUGUUGUCCCCGCCUAGCACACAAUGAACUCUCUGCUCCUCCCCCUGCUCCUCCUGGCUCUGGCCCCGGGUGUCCUGUCCCAGCUCCACCUCCAGGAGUCCGGCCCGGGGGUGGUGAAGCCUGGAGAGACGCUCACACUCACCUGCACUGUCACCGGGGGCACCAUCACUAGCAGCUACUGGUGGAACUGGAUACGCCAGGCCCCGGGCCAAGGGCUGGAGUGGAUGGGACUAUGGACCGGGAGCACAAGCUACGCCCCGUCUCUCCAAGGCCGAAUCACCAUCACCGUGGAUUCUUCCAACACCAAAUACUAUCUGCGGCUGAGCUCGCUGACAGCUACAGACACCGGCACCUAUUACUGCGCCAGAGACACAGUGACACAGGGCAGAGCAGGGACCGUACAAAAAGGGGAAGCAGAUUCUAAGCAAAGCAGUGGCCUCUCCCCGGUGCAGCUGGCCAAGACCGGCCUGGGAGCGGUGAAGCCCAGAGAGACCCUGAGUAUCACCUGUGUCCUCUCCCAGGUGCAGCUGAUCCAGACCGGCCGGGAGCGGUGA